rnacentral:rRNA from 1 species
UCUCGUCUUCUUCUUCUCUUCUUCUCUCCCUCGCCCCCCCUUUUCUUCUCCUCUUUUUGUGUUUUUUUUUUCUUUUUCUUCCAAAAAGAAGGCUUGAGUUGUUUUUCUCGCUUUCUUUAUGUUCC